rnacentral:rRNA from 1 species
UAGGGAAUCUUCCACAAUGGGCGCAAGCCUGAUGGAGCAACACCGCGUGAGUGAAGAAGGGUUUCGGCUCGUAAAGCUCUGUUGUUGAAGAAGAACGUGCAUGAGAGUAACUGUUCAUGCAGUGACGGUAUUCAACCAGAAAGUCACGGCUAACUACGUGCCAGCAGCCGCGGUAAUACGUAGGUGGCAAGCGUUAUCCGGAUUUAUUGGGCGUAAAGAGAGUGCAGGCGGUUUUCUAAGUCUGAUGUGAAAGCCUUCGGCUUAACCGGAGAAGUGCAUCGGAAACUGGAUAACUUGAGUGCAGAAGAGGGUAGUGGAACUCCAUGUGUAGCGGUGGAAUGCGUAGAUAUAUGGAAGAACACCAGUGGCGAAGGCGGCUACCUGGUCUGCAACUGACGCUGAGACUCGAAAGCAUGGGUAGCGAACAGGAUUAGAUACCCUGGUAGUCCAUGCCGUAAACGAUGAGUGCUAGGUGUUGGAGGGUUUCCGCCCUUCAGUGGCGGAGCUAACGCAUUAAGCACUCCGCCUGGGGAGUACGACCGCAAGGUU